UUAAAGUUUUAAUUUUGUUUCAAGGUUCAGGAAGGCAUAUGUGAUUUCCAUCACCAAGGAUUGGAUGGGAAAACCAAGAUUCCCAGAUGUUGCUAUGUCGGAUGUUCUCGGAACACACAGAUCCAGCUACGGCCUGAUGCCUUCGGAAAUGGAGUCUGCAGUCCCUUAGGAUGAUGCAUUGGCCUAAGCAGAUGAAUUUUCUUCGGACAGUGCUUGGGGGGCCCACCUUUCCUGUGGUGAGAAUUCAUUGUUUGGGCUUUAGGUUUUUGGUCUCCUGAUUUAUACUAAAGAGGAAGGACAAUUCUGAAGUGGUCACCUGGGCUGCCUAUUCUUUCUUGGCACCAUAAAUAAAACCUUUUGGCCAAAUUCA